GACGUGGGCGCAGCCCUGGACCAGCCAGGCCGCGUGCAGGAUGACGGUCCUCUGGAUUGUAAACCGCUUUUUGCACAGGAGGAAGCAACGCUACGUGUAGCGUCUCGACGGUACCGUGAGAAUAAGGAUCGGCUAACUCCGUGCCAGCGUCCGCGGUAA
rnacentral:rRNA from 1 species